UCGCCCACUCCGGCCGCGCGGGGGAGCAGGGUAGAGACGGGGUUUCGUCAUGUUGGCCAGGCUGGUCUCCCACUCCUUCCCUCAAGUCAUCACCCUGAUUCGGCCUCCUGAAGUGCUGGGAUUACAAGCAUGAGCCACCACGCCCAGCCCCUAGGAGUGAAUGAUUUAAUGUCUGCACUAAGAAGGUUAUGGAGUAGCAGGGCACAGACAGGACUCCUGGAAGAAGAAAGAUACACUAGGAAGACCAGCAGAGCAGGAGAUGCAUUUUGUGUCCAGUAUAAAACUAAUUGGCAAAGUAAGG